rnacentral:rRNA from 1 species
CCUACGGGGGGCUGCAGUGGGGAAUCUUGCGCAAUGGGCGAAAGCCUGACGCAGCGACGCCGCGUGUGCGAUGAAGGUCUUCGGAUCGUAAAGCACUGUCGCCCGGGAAAAAGAGAGUGAUGGUACCGGGAGAGGAAGCACCGGCUAACUCUGUGCCAGCAGCCGCGGUAAUACAGAGGGUGCGAGCGUUGUUCGGAAUUAUUGGGCGUAAAGCGCUUGUAGGCGGUUUUGCAAGUCGCGUGUGAAAGCCCCAGGCUCAACCUGGGAAGUGCGCG